rnacentral:rRNA from 1 species
UACGUAGGCAGCGAGCGUUGUUCGGAGUUACUGGGCGUAAAGCGUGCGUAGACGGCUAUCUAAGUCGGGUGUGAAAGCCCCGGGCUCAACCUGGGAAUUGCAUUCGAGACUGAAUAGCUAGGGUACGGUAGAGGGAAGCGGAAUUUCCGGUGUAGCGGUGAAAUGCGUAGAUAUCGGAAGGAACAUCAGUGGCGAAAGCGGCUUCCUGGACCAGUACCGACGUUCAGGCACGAAAGCGUGGGGAGCAAACAGG